rnacentral:rRNA from 1 species
GUCAUAUGCUUGUYUCAAAGAUAAGCCAUGCAUGUCUCAGUACAAGCCAAAUUAAGGUGAAACCGCAAAAGGCUCAUUAAAUCAGUUAUGGUUCCUUAGAUCGUACCCACAAUUACUUGGAUAACUGUGGUAAUUCUAGAGCUAAUACAUGCAAACAGAGCUCCGACCGGAGACGGAAGGAGUGCUUUUAUUAGAUCAAAACCAAUCGGUGGCGGGUUCGCCCGUCAUCGUACAACUUGGUGACUCUGAAUAACUUUACGCUGAUCGCACGGUCAUCGCACCGGCGACGCAUCUUUCAAAUGUCUGCCUUAUCAACUGUCGAUGGUAGGUUCUGCGCCUACCAUGGUUGUAACGGGUAACGGGGAAUCAGGGUUCGAUUCCGGAGAGGGAGCCUGAGAAACGGCUACCACAUCCAAGGAAGGCAGCAGGCGCGCAAAUUACCCACUCCCGGCACGGGGAGGUAGUGACGAAAAAUAACGAUACGGGACUCAUCCGAGGCCCCGUAAUCGGAAUGAGUACACUCUAAACCCUUUAACGAGGAUCAAUUGGAGGGCAAGUCUGGUGCCAGCAGCCGCGGUAAUUCCAGCUCCAAUAGCGUAUAUUAAAGUUGUUGCGGUUAAAAAGCUCGUAGUCGAAUUUGUGUCUCGCGCCGCCGGUUCAUCGUCCGCGGUGUUAACUGGCGAGUCGCGAGACGUCCUGCCGGUGGGCUUAGCUCGCGAGGGCGGCCCAACUCAAUCCUGCCGCGGUGCUCUUCAUUGAGUGUCGAGGUGGGCCGGCACGUUUACUUUGAACAAAUUAGAGUGCUUAAAGCAGGCUAAAACUUCGCCUGAAUACUGUGUGCAUGGAAUAAUGGAAUAGGACCUCGGUUCUAUUUUGUUGGUUUUCGGAACCCCGAGGUAAUGAUUAAUAGGAACGGAUGGGGGCAUUCGUAUUGCGACGUUAGAGGUGAAAUUCUUGGAUCGUCGC